AGUGAACGCUGGCGGUAGGCCUAACACAUGCAAGUCGAACGGCAGCACAGUAAGAGCUUGCUCUUACGGGUGGCGAGUGGCGGACGGGUGAGGAAUACAUCGGAAUCUACUUUUUCGUGGGUGAUAACGUAGGGAAACUUACGCUAAUACCUCAUACGACCUACGGGUUAAAGCAGGGGAUCUUCGGACCUUGCGCGAUUGAAUGAGCCGAUGUCGGAUUAGCUAGUUGGCGGGGUAAAGGCCCACCAAGGCGACGAUCCGUAGCUGGUCUGAGAGGAUGAUCAGCCACACUGGAACUGAGACACGGUCCAGACUCCUACGGGAGGCAGCAGUGGGGAAUAUUGGACAAAGGGCGCAAGCCUGAUCCAGCCAUACCGCGUGGGUGAAGAAGGCCUUCGGGUUGUAAAGCCCUUUUGUUGGGAAAGAAAAGCAGCAGGUUAAUACCCCGCUGUUCUGACGGUACCCAAAGAAUAAGCACCGGCUAACUUCGUG
rnacentral:rRNA from 1 species